AGAGUUUGAUCCUGGCUCAGGACGAACGCUGGCGGCGUGCUUAACACAUGCAAGUCGUACGGUAAGGCCCUUUCGGGGGUACACGAGUGGCGAACGGGUGAGUAACACGUGAGUAACCUGCCCACAACUUUGGGAUAACGCUAGGAAACUGGUGCUAAUACUGGAUAUGUGCUCCUGCUGCAUGGUGGGGGUUGGAAAGCUCCGGCGGUUGUGGAUGGACUCGCGGCCUAUCAGCUUGUUGGUGGGGUAGUGGCCUACCAAGGCGGCGACGGGUAGCCGGCCUGAGAGGGUGACCGGCCACAUUGGGACUGAGAUACGGCCCAGACUCCUACGGGAGGCAGCAGUGGGGAAUAUUGCACAAUGGGCGCAAGCCUGAUGCAGCAACGCCGCGUGCGGGAUGACGGCCUUCGGGUUGUAAACCGCUUUCAGCAGGGGCGAAGCUUUUGUGACGGUACCUGCAGAAGAAGCACCGGCUAACUACGUGCCAGCAGCCGCGGUGAUACGUAGGGUGCGAGCGUUGUCCGGAUUUAUUGGGCGUAAAGAGCUCGUAGGUGGUUGAUUGCGUCGGAAGUGAAAACUUGGGGCUUAACCCUGAGCGUGCUUUCGAUACGGGUUGACUUGAGGAAGGUAGGGGAGAAUGGAAUUCCUGGUGGAGCGGUGGAAUGCGCAGAUAUCAGGAGGAACACCAGUGGCGAAGGCGGUUCUCUGGACCUUUCCUGACGCUGAGGAGCGAAAGCGUGGGGAGCGAACAGGCUUAGAUACCCUGGUAGUCCACGCUGUAAACGGUGGGUACUAGGUGUGGGGUCCAUUCCACGGAUUCCGUGCCGUAGCUAACGCAUUAAGUACCCCGCCUGGGGAGUACGGCCGCAAGGCUAAAACUCAAAGGAAUUGACGGGGCCCCGCACAAGCGGCGGAGCAUGCGGAUUAAUUCGAUGCAACGCGAAGAACCUUACCUGGGUUUGACAUGGACUGGGAGUGCUCAGAGAUGGGUACGCCUCCUUGUGGGGCUGGUUCACAGGUGGUGCAUGGCUGUCGUCAGCUCGUGUCGUGAGAUGUUGGGUUAAGUCCCGCAACGAGCGCAACCC
rnacentral:rRNA from 1 species